AUACGUAGGAUCCAAGCGUUGUCCGGAUUUACUGGGUAUAAAGGGUGCGUAGGCGGCCUUGUGCGUCAGAGGUGAAAUCUCCGGGCUUAACCCGGAGGGUGCCUUUGAUACGGCAGGGCUUGAGUGCGAGAGAGGAUGAUGGAAUUCCUGGUGUAGCGGUGAAAUGCGUAGAUAUCAGGAGGAACACCGGUGGCGAAGGCGGUCAUCUGGCUCGAAACUGACGCUGAGGCACGAAAGCGUGGGGAUCAAACAGGAUUAGAUACCCUGGUAGUCCACGCCCUAAACGAUGUAUGCCUGGUGUUGGGGUCGCAAGAUCUCAGUGCCGUAGGAAAUCUGAUAAGCAUACCACCUGGGGAGUACGAUCGCAAGGUUGAA
rnacentral:rRNA from 1 species